GCCUGGGUGGCUCAGUCGGUUGAGCGUCUGACUUUGGCUCAGAUCAUGAUCUCACAGUCCGUGAGUUCGAGCCCCGCGUCAGGAU
rnacentral:tRNA from 1 species